rnacentral:rRNA from 2 species
GUUAUAUGGUCAAGUGAAGAAGCGCAUACGGUGGAUGCCUUGGCAGUCAGAGGCGAUGAAAGACGUUGUAGCCUGCGAUAAGCUUUGGGGAGUCGGCAAACAGACUGUGAUCCAGAGAUCUCUGAAUGGGGGAACCCACCUAGCAUAAGCUGGGUAUCAUGCACUGAAUACAUAGGUGCAUGAGGCGAACCAGGGGAACUGAAACAUCUAAGUACCCUGAGGAAAAGAAAUCAACCGAGAUUCCCUUAGUAGUGGCGAGCGAACGGGGACUAGCCCUUAAGUUGAUUUGAGAUUAGUGGAAGGCUCUGGAAAGUGCCGCCGUAGUGGGUGAUAGCCCCGUACACGAAAAUCUCUUGUCAAUGAAAUCGAGUAGGACGGAGCACGAGAAACUUUGUCUGAAUAUGGGGGGACCAUCCUCCAAGGCUAAAUACUACUGACUGACCGAUAGUGAACCAGUACCGUGAGGGAAAGGCGAAAAGAACCCCGGAGAGGGGAGUGAAAUAG